rnacentral:rRNA from 1 species
CUCAGGAUGAACGCUAGCUACAGGCUUAACACAUGCAAGUCGAGGGGAAACGACAUCGAAAGCUUGCUUUUGAUGGGCGUCGACCGGCGCACGGGUGAGUAACGCGUAUCCAACCUGCCCACCACUUGGGGAUAACCUUGCGAAAGUAAGACUAAUACCCAAUGAUAUCUCAAGAAGCCAUCUGAAUGAGAUUAAAGAUUUAUCGGUGAUGGAUGGGGAUGCGUCUGAUUAGCUUGUUGGCGGGGUAACGGCCCACCAAGGCGACGAUCAGUAGGGGUUCUGAGAGGAAGGUCCCCCACAUUAGAACUGAGACACGGUCCAAACUCCUACGGGAGGCAGCAGUGAGGAAUAUUGGUCAAUGGGCGAGAGCCUGAACCAGCCAAGUAGCGUGCAGGAUGACGGCCCUAUGGGUUGUAAACUGCUUUUAUAAGGGAAUAAAGUGAGAGUCGUGACUCUUUUUGCAUGUACCUUAUGAAUAAGGACCGGCUAAUUCCGUGCCAGCAGCCGCGGUAAUACGGAAGGUCCGGGCGUUAUCCGGAUUUAUUGGGUUUAAAGGGAGCGUAGGCCGGAGAUUAAGCGUGUUGUGAAAUGUAGAUGCUCAACGUCUGCACUGCAGCGCGAACUGGUUUCCUUGAGUACGCACAAAGUGGGCGGAAUUCGUGGUGUAGCGGUGAAAUGCUUAGAUAUCACGAAGAACUCCGAUUGCGAAGGCAGCUCACUGGAGCGCAACUGACGCUGAAGCUCGAAAGUGCGGGUAUCGAACAGGAUUAGAUACCCUGGUAGUCCGCACGGUAAACGAUGGAUGCCCGCUGUUGGUCUGAAUAGGUCAGCGGCCAAGCGAAAGCAUUAAGCAUCCCACCUGGGGAGUACGCCGGCAACGGUGAAACUCAAAGGAAUUGACGGA